UACAGGGGGGGCAAGCGUUGGUCGGAAUUACUGGGCGUAAAGGGCUCGUAGGCGGCUUGUCACGUCGUUUGUGAAAGCCCGAGGCUUAACCUCGGGUCUGCAGUCGAUACGGGCUAGCUAGAGUGUGGUAGGGGAGAUCGGAAUUCCUGGUGUAGCGGUGAAAUGCGCAGAUAUCAGGAGGAACACCGGUGGCGAAGGCGGAUCUCUGGGCCAUUACUGACGCUGAGGAGCGAAAGCGUGGGGAGCGAACAGG
rnacentral:rRNA from 1 species